UUGUACAGGGCCAGAGCAGCAGUAUAGGAACUUCUCUGUAAAUAAUCUGUCCUUCUGUCCUGGAACUGCAUCGAACCAUGAGAAAGAUUAAGAGGAACAGAGACAUUCUUCUCGGUUACAAACUAGCCACUCAUCCCGCUCAUCAGACUGGUAGCCAUAAGAGGAAAGAGAGCUCCAGGGGGCAAGUGGUGUGGGCCAGAUCCCAAGCAAGGCAUCGUUCUACAGAAUGAAAAGGACCGGGGUCAGAGUGAUCUGUCACGCCAAGGAGCUGCCGCACUACUGCCAGCACUUUCAUCCUUGGACAUCACACACCCACACUAAUGAACUGGACACUUCAGCACCUGCACUUUCCACCACCCGAAAGUGUACUAUUAUUUAUUAUUUACGGUCCACAAACGACCUAGAUUAUAAAAACAAAUAAAGAAUUGUCUGG